rnacentral:rRNA from 1 species
GACGAACGCUGGCGGCGUGCUUAACACAUGCAAGUCGAACGGAAAGGCCCUGCUUUUGUGGGGUGCUCGAGUGGCGAACGGGUGAGUAACACGUGAGUAACCUGCCCUUGACUUUGGGAUACUUCAGGAAACUGGGGCUAAUACCGGAUAGGAGCUCCUGCUGCAUGGUGGGGGUUGGAAAGUUUCGGCGGUUGGGGAUGGACUCGCGGCUUAUCAGCUUGUUGGUGGGGUAGUGGCUUACCAAGGCUUUGACGGGUAGCCGGCCUGAGAGGGUGACCGGCCACAUUGGGACUGAGAUACGGCCCAGACUCCUACGGGAGGCAGCAGUGGGGAAUAUUGCACAAUGGGCGGAAGCCUGAUGCAGCAACGCCGCGUGCGGGAUGACGGCCUUCGGGUUGUAAACCGCUUUCGCCUGUGACGAAGCGUGAGUGACGGUAAUGGGUAAAGAAGCACCGGCUAACUACGUG